GGGUUCGUAGUUUGAAUUGAGGGGGUGUCAAGUUGUUCGAUCAAGUCCCGCCCACACGGGUUCGGCCAUCGCGCUUGCCCUCCGUGAACAUUUUCGGAAACAAACAUCGCGGAAUCGUUUCCUCCCACUCACGCAUGCAACGUAUGCAGGGGGGCGUCCGUGUGUCUUACUGUGACUAAAAAGCGCGACCAAAGCAGUCGAUCGACCUGAAUUUGAAAGCAUGGGAUAACAAAGGAGCGCCUAUAGGCUACCGUUUCGGCUUUUGUUGGUUUUAAAGGUCUGUGGGAGAUUAUGGUGCGCAUGACAAGCGGUUCGGGGUUCCGUCCCCACGCCUCCGGCGUGCAGUGCCUUCGGGUUCUGUCGCCGGCUUGUGUCGUCCGGAAUGAAGGAGGGUUGUUCGGGGGAGAACGUACUUGGUGUGAGAGGUGAAAUUCUUAGACCACUCAAAGACGAACUACAGCGAAGGCAUUCUCCGGGAUACCUUCCUCAAUCAAGAACCAAAGUGUGGAGAUCGAAGAUGAUUAGAGACCAUUGUGUCC
rnacentral:rRNA from 1 species